GAAGUGGCGCAAUGGGUCUGUGCAUCUGGCUGUUAACCAGAAGCGUUGGUGGUUCGAGCCCACCCAGGGACA